GUUAGGUCUCGUUGGUGACCAGCGGAGGGAUCAUUACAGAGUUGCAAAACUCCCUAAACCAUUGUGAACGUUACCUAAACCGUUGCUUCGGCGGGCGGCCCCGGGGUUUACCCCCCGGGCGCCCCUGGGCCCCACCGCGGGCGCCCGCCGGAGGUCACCAAACUCUUGAAAAUUUUUGGCCUCUCUGAGUCUUCUGUACUGAAAAAGUCAAAACUUUCAACAACGGAUCUCUUGGUUCUGGCAUCGAUGAAGAACGCAGCGAAAUGCGAAAAGUAAUGUGAAUUGCAGAAUUCAGUGAAUCAUCGAAUCUUUGAACGCACAUUGCGCCCGCCAGUAUUCUGGCGGGCAUGCCUGUUCGAGCGUCAUUUCAACCAUCAAGCCCCCGGGCUUGUGUUGGGGACCUGCGGCUGCCGCAGGCCCUGAAAAGCAGUGGCGGGCUCGCUGUCACACCGAGCGUAGUAGCAUACAUCUCGCUCUGGGCGUGCUGCGGGUUCCGGCCGUUAAACCACCUUUUAACCCAAGGUUGACCUCGGAUCAGGUAGGAAGACCCGCUGAACUUAAGCAUAUCAAAAAGCGGAGGAAA
rnacentral:rRNA from 1 species